rnacentral:rRNA from 1 species
UUUAGCCUACGGGGCGCAGCAGUAGGGAAUCUUCCACAAUGGGCGAAAGCCUGAUGGAGCAACGCCGCGUGAGUGAUGACGGCCUUCGGGUUGUAAAGCUCUGUCUUCAGGGACGAUAAUGACGGUACCUGAGGAGGAAGCCACGGCUAACUACGUGCCAGCAGCCGCGGUAAUACGUAGGUGGCGAGCGUUGUCCGGAUUUACUGGGCGUAAAGGGAGCGUAGGCGGACUUUUAAGUGAGAUGUGAAAUACUCGGGCUCAACUUGAGUGCUGCAUUUCAAACUGGAAGUCUAGAGUGCAGGAGA